GAGCCGAUAGCUCAGUAGGUAGAGCAGCGGACUUUUAAUCCGCGGGUCGAGGGUUCGAUUCCCUCUCGGCUCACCA
rnacentral:tRNA from 1 species